UGAGGAAUAUUGGUCAAUGGGCGGAAGCCUGAACCAGCCAUGCCGCGUGCAGGAAGGAGGCCCUACGGGUUGUAAACUGCUUUUACCCGGGAAGAAACCGCCCCCUGCGGGGGGCGUUGCCGGUACCGGGGGAAAAAGGAUCGGCUAACUCCGUGCCAGCAGCCGCGGUAAUACGGAGGAUCCGGGCAUUAUCCGGAGUUACUGGGUUUAAAGGGUGCGUAGGCGGGGCUUUAAGCCGGCGGUGAAAUGCAGCGGCUCAACCGCUGGAAUGCCGUUGGGACUGGGGCUCUUGGAUACGGUCGGGGCGGGUGGAACUCGUGGUGUAGCGGUGAAAUGCAUAGAUAUCACGAGGAACGCCGGUAGCGAAGGCAGCUCGCCGGGCCGGUAUUGACGCUGAGGCACGAAAGCGUGGGGAUCGAACAG
rnacentral:rRNA from 1 species